UACGUAGGGUGCAAGCGUUGUCCGGAAUUAUUGGGCGUAAAGAGCUCGUAGGCGGUUCGUCGCGUCGGCUGUGAAAUCCCGGAGCUCAACUCCGGGUCUGCAGUCGAUACGGGCGGACUCGAGUUCGGCAGGGGAGACUGGAAUUCCUGGUGUAGCGGUGAAAUGCGCAGAUAUCAGGAGGAACACCGGUGGCGAAGGCGGGUCUCUGGGCAGUAACUGACGCUGAGGAGCGAAAGCGUGGGGAGCGAACAGG
rnacentral:rRNA from 1 species